rnacentral:rRNA from 1 species
UACGUAGGGGGCAAGCGUUGUCCGGAUUUAUUGGGCGUAAAGAGCGUGUAGGCGGCUGGGUAGGUCCGCUGUGAAAACUCGAGGCUUAACCUCGAGACGUCGGUGGAAACCAUCCAGCUAGAGUCCGGAAGAGGAGAGUGGAGUUCCUGGUGUAGCGGUGAAAUGCGCAGAUAUCAGGAAGAACACCCGUGGCGAAAGCGGCUCUCUGGGACGGUACUGACGCUGAGACGCGAAAGCGUGGGGAGCGAACAGG